UUUCCAGUCAUUGGGGAGUAGCCUGUUCCAAAACAUUUUUGGAAAAUUCGUAUCAACAUACUCGUUUGCAACAAAACGUGGUACGAAUGCCUGAAGAGCCUAAUAAAAAUAAGCUCUAAAUCGGUUGGCAAGACCAUAGACACAUGG
rnacentral:sRNA from 2 species